UUGAGCCUUUUUAACACCCCCAGAGCAUGGCGCGGCUAUCCAUGCACGUCGAAGCGGGCCAGCGGGAGAGUAGCUUGCUACUUUUGCCGGCGAGCGGGGGCCGGGUGAGUAUUGCCUGGGAAAUUGCCCAGUCUAGGGGGAUAACAGUUGGAAAACGCCUGCUAAUACCGCCUACGCCCUACGGGGGAAAGCCAGGGGACCUUCGGGCCUUGCGCGAUUGGAUAUGGCCCCGGUGGGAUUAUCUAGUUGGUGAGGUAAUGGCUCACCAAGGCGACGAUCCCUAGUUGGUCUGGAGAGGAUGUUCAGCCACACUGGAACUGAGACCCGGUCCUAGAUUCCUUCGGGAGGCAGCAGUGGGGAAUAUUGCCCAAUGGGGGAAACCCUGAUGCAGCCAUGCCGCGUGUGUGAAGAAGGCCUUCGGGUUGUAAAGCACUUUCAGCGAGGAGGAAAGGUUGAUGCCUAAUACGUAUCAAUUGUGACGUUACUGGCAGAAGAAGCACCGGCUAAUUCCGUGCCAGCAGCCGCGGUAAUACGGAGGGUGCAAGCGUUAAUCGGAAUUACUGGGCGUAAAGCGCACGCAGGCGGUUGGAUAAGUUAGAUGUGAAAGCCCCGGGCUCAACCUGGGAAUUGCAUUUAAAACUGUCCAGCUAGAGUCUUGUAGAGGGGUGUAGAAUUCCAGGUGUAGCGGUGAAAUGCGUAUAGAUCUGGAGGAAUACCGGUGGCGAAGGCGGCCCCCUGGACAAAGACUGACGCUCAGGUGCGAAAGCGUGGGGAGCAAACAGGAUUAGAUACCCUGGUAGUCCACGCCGUAUACGAUGUCUAUUUGGAGGCUGUGUCCUUGAGACGUGGCUUCCGGAGCUAACGCGUUAAAUCUACCGCCUGGGGAGUACGGCCGCACGGUUGAAACUCAAAUGAAUUGACGGGGGCCCGCCCAAGCGGUGUAGCAUGUGGUUUAAUUCGAUGCAACGCGGAGAACCUUACUUGGCCUUGACAUGUCUGGAAUCCUUCCGAGAUGCUGUAUUGCCUUCGGGAAUCAGAAACACAGGUGCUGCAUGGCUGUCGUCAGCUCGUGCUCGUGAGAUGUUGGGUUAAGUCCCGCAACCGAUCUCAACCCCUGUCCUUUGUUGCCAGCGCUGUAAUGGUUGGAACUCAAGGGAGACCUGCCGGUGAUUCACCGGAGGAAGGUGGGGGUGACGUCAAGUCUUCAUCGGGCGUUACGGCCAGUGCUACACACGUGGUACAAUGGCCGCGUACAGGGGGGUUGGCAAGCUACGCGAUAGUGAGCGACCCAUGCCCAAGAGAGCGCGUCGUAUUACGCGGGAUCGGAUUCUGCAACUGUCGCCUCCGUGAAGUCCGGAAUCGCUGGUAAUCGCAUUAAUCAGAAUGUUUCGGUGAAUACGUUCCCGGGCCUUGGUACACUUUCCGCUCGUCACACCAUGGGCGUGGGUUGCACGAGAAGUAGAUAGCUUUACCUUCCGUAGGGCAUUUUUCCAUCGGUGUUUUGUCAGGGGGAAUGGCAAGGUUCAACGGUUAAAGAAAGAGGCUCGGGGGGAG
rnacentral:rRNA from 1 species